rnacentral:rRNA from 1 species
GACGAACGCUGGCGGCGUGCUUAACACAUGCAAGUCGAACGGUGAAGCGCUUUCCUUUUUGGUUGGUGUGGAUGAGUGGCGAACGGGUGAGUAACACGUUAGUAACCUGCCCCCUUCUUCUGGAUAACCGCAUGAAAGUGUGGCUAAUACGGGAUAUUCUGCGCCUGCUGCAUGGUGGGUGUGGGAAAGAUUGUGCCUUUGGGUGUUUUCGGUGGGGGAUGGGCUCGCGGCCUAUCAGCUUGUUGGUGGGGUGAUGGCCUACCAAGGCGGUGACGGGUAGCCGGCAUGAGGGGGUGGACGGUCAGACUGGGACUGAGACACGGCCCAGACUCCUACGGGAGGCAGCAGUGGGGAAUAUUGCACAAUGGGCGCAAGCCUGAUGCAGCGACGCCGCGUGAGGGAUGGAGGCCUUCGGGUUGUGAACCUCUUUCGCCAGUGAAGCAGGCCUGCUCCUUGUGGGUGGGUUGACGGUAGCUGGAGAAGAAGCGCCGGCUAACUACGUG